GAUGAACGCUAGCUACAGGCUUAACACAUGCAAGUCGAGGGGUAACGAGAGGGAAGCUUGCUUUCCUUGUCGACGACCGGCGCACGGGUGAGCAACGCGUAUCCAACCUGCCCCCAACUAAGGAAUAACCUUGCGAAAGUAAGACUAAUACCCUAUAAUUUCCUCAGAUGACAUCUGACGAGGAAUAAAGAUUUAUCGGUUGUGGAUGGGGAUGCGUCUGAUUAGCUUGUUGGCGGGGUAACGGCCCACCAAGGCAACGAUCAGUAGGGGUUCUGAGAGGAAGGUCCCCCUCAUUGGAACUGAGACACGGUCCAAACUCCUACGGGAGGCAGCAGUGAGGAAUAUUGGUCAAUGGGCGGAAGCCUGAACCAGCCAAGUAGCGUGCAGGAUGACGGCCCUAUGGGUUGUAAACUGCUUUUAUACAGGAAUAAAGUGAGCCACGUGUGGUUAUUUGUAGGUACUGUAUGAAUAAGGACCGGCUAAUUCCGUGCCAGCCGCCGCCGUAA
rnacentral:rRNA from 1 species